AUUGAACGCUGGCGGCAUGCUUUACACAUGCAAGUCGAACGGUAACAGGCCUUCGGGUGCUGACGAGUGGCGAACGGGUGAGUAAUGCAUCGGAACGUACCCAGAGGUGGGGGAUAACGCAGCGAAAGCUGUGCUAAUACCGCAUGUGAUCUGAGGAUGAAAGCGGGGGACCGAGCAGCAAUGUUGGCCUCGCGCCUUUGGAGCGGCCGAUGUCGGAUUAGCUAGUUGGUGGGGUAAAGGCCUACCAAGGCGACGAUCCGUAGCUGGUCUGAGAGGACGACCAGCCACACUGGGACUGAGACACGGCCCAGACUCCUACGGGAGGCAGCAGUGGGGAAUUUUGGACAAUGGGCGCAAGCCUGAUCCAGCAAUGCCGCGUGCGGGAAGAAGGCCUUCGGGUUGUAAACCGCUUUUGGCAGGAACGAAACGGUGUCCGCUAAUACCGGGCGCUAAUGACGGUACCUGCAGAAUAAGCACCGGCUAACUACGUG
rnacentral:rRNA from 1 species